rnacentral:rRNA from 2 species
CAGGUGCUGCAUGGCUGUCGUCAGCUCGUGUUGUGAAAUGUUGGGUUAAGUCCCGCAACGAGCGCAACCCUUAUCCUUUGUUGCCAGCGGUUAGGCCGGGAACUCAAAGGAGACUGCCAGUGAUAAACUGGAGGAAGGUGGGGAUGACGUCAAGUCAUCAUGGCCCUUACGACCAGGGCUACACACGUGCUACAAUGGCGCAUACAAAGAGAAGCGACCUCGCGAGAGCAAGCGGACCUCAUAAAGUGCGUCGUAGUCCGGAUUGGAGUCUGCAACUCGACUCCAUGAAGUCGGAAUCGCUAGUAAUCGUGGAUCAGAAUGCCACGGUGAAUACGUUCCCGGGCCUUGUACACACCGCCCGUCACACCAUGGGAGUGGGUUGCAAAAGAAGUAGGUAGCUUAACCUUCGGGAGGGCGCUUACCACUUUGUGAUUCAUGACUGGGGUGAAGUCGUAACAAGGUAACCGUAGGGGAACCUGCGGUUGGAUCACCUCCUUACCUUAAAGAA